CAUUAAAGAGUUCUAUAACUCCCAAACCCAUGUGAACAUACCUAACGUUGCCUCGGCAGGUCGCACCUACCUUGUAGCACCCUACCCUGUAGGGCCUACCCGGGAGGUGCGGGUAAGCCUGCCGGCGGCCCACCAAACUCUGUUUGAUAUUGAAUUCUGAACCUAUAACUAAAUAAGUUAAAACUUUCAACAACGGAUCUCUUGGUUCUGGCAUCGAUGAAGAACGCAGCGAAAUGCGAUAAGUAAUGUGAAUUGCAGAAUUCAGUGAAUCAUCGAAUCUUUGAACGCAUAUUGCGCCCAUUAGUAUUCUAGUGGGCAGGACCGUUCGAGCGUCAUUUCAACCCUUAAGCCUUCGUUGCUUAGUGUUGGGAGCCUACGGCAACGUAGCUCCUCAAAGUUAGUGGCGGAGUUGGUUCACACUCUAGACGUAGUAAUUUUUUAUCUCGCCUAUUAGUUGGACUAAUCCCCUGCCGUAAAACCCCUAAUUUAUCAAGGUUGACCUCGAAUCGGUUCAGACAAACUCGCUAAAUUGAAGCAUCUUAGUCAGCGAAGGAAAAGAAACCAACAGGGAUUGCCCUAGUAACGGCGAGUGAAGCGGCAACAGCUCAAAUUUGAAAUCUGGCCCUCG
rnacentral:rRNA from 1 species